rnacentral:rRNA from 1 species
UAGUUGGUGGGGUAAAGGCCUACCAAGGCGACGAUCUGUAGCGGGUCUGAGAGGAUGAUCCGCCACACUGGGACUGAGACACGGCCCAGACUCCUACGGGAGGCAGCAGUGGGGAAUAUUGGACAAUGGGCGCAAGCCUGAUCCAGCCAUGCCGCGUGUGUGAAGAAGGCCUUUUGGUUGUAAAGCACUUUAAGCGAGGAGGAGGCUACUUGGAUUAAUACUCUAGGAUAGUGGACGUUACUCGCAGAAUAAGCACCGGCUAACUCUGUGCCAGCAGCCGCGGUAAUACAGAGGGUGCGAGCGUUAAUCGGAUUUACUGGGCGUAAAGCGUGCGUAGGCGGCUUUUUAAGUCGGAUGUGAAAUCCCUGAGCUUAACUUAGGAAUUGCAUUCGAUACUGGGAAGCUAGAGUAUGGGAGAGGAUGGUAGAAUUCCAGGUGUAGCGGUGAAAUGCGUAGAGAUCUGGAGGAAUACCGAUGGCGAAGGCAGCCAUCUGGCCUAAUACUGACGCUGAGGUACGAAAGCAUGGGGAGCAAACAGGAUUAGAUACCCUGGUAGUCCAUGCCGUAAACGAUGUCUACUAGCCGUUGGGGCCUUUGAG